GACGAACGCUGGCGGCAUGCCUAACACAUGCAAGUCGAACGAGACCUUCGGGUCUAGUGGCGCACGGGUGCGUAACGCGUGGGAACCUGCCCUUAGGUUCGGAAUAACUCCCCGAAAGGGGUGCUAAUACCGGAUAAUGUCUUCGGACCAAAGAUUUAUCGCCUUUGGAUGGGCCCGCGUUGGAUUAGCUAGUUGGUAGGGUAAAAGCCUACCAAGGCGACGAUCCAUAGCUGGUCUGAGAGGAUGAUCAGCCACACUGGGACUGAGACACGGCCCAGACUCCUACGGGAGGCAGCAGUGGGGAAUAUUGGACAAUGGGCGAAAGCCUGAUCCAGCAAUGCCGCGUGAGUGAUGAAGGCCUUAGGGUCGUAAAGCUCUUUUACCCGGGAUGAUAAUGACAGUACCGGGAGAAUAAGCUCCGGCUAACUCCGUG
rnacentral:rRNA from 1 species